UCUUAGCAGGAAGCCUUUUCAUCUGUGCUCCUAAUAAGGAAUAAUGAAUAUGUUAAUGGAUACAUUAAGGAAUCGUGUUUAGAGCUUGUUUUCUAUUAGGAGUCUAAGAAGAGCCAUCCAGAUAGAUGCCAGUCAUCUUACAGGUGACGACAGUGAUGAGUCAGAGCAGAGGUGUGUAUCAGCUACGUCAGGUCCUGUGGAAGGUAGGUUGGAGUUUACAUGUGUGAGAACUCAGGGUCUACGAAAUCAAAUUUAGACCCCCUGAGAGUAGGGCAGGGUGGCUUGUGCUUGAGGGAACCACCCUCGCCGACCCCCUGAAAGUCACUCUGCAGUGGCUUUGAGAGCAAUUAUCUUGGUAGAGCAGCUCUUACUUUGCAUUUAAGAUUGUCCUCCUGAAAAGGUCAUGUGUAAAUCAAAUUUAAUAAAUCAAAUUCUCCACUUCAUACCUUGGGGAGGCUCACUCUUCAAAGGAAACGGCGAGUGAGUCCCUUUUUUAAUAGAAGUAAUCAGCUCUUCAUUUAUCUGAUUUGUAAGGUAAGAUUUUUAUGUAUCAGGUUUUCUAAAAGUGAGUGGCGGGGUCUUUCUUCCGUCGGAGGCAGGAAACACAGCACAGAAUGGUGGACGCGGAACAGGUGCAAGGGAACAACACAAAAUAGCAAAGCAGAGGUGCGUGCCAUGAAAAGUGAGGGGUACACUGGUUUUAGUCAUGGCUGGUUUCAGGCCUCUCCCAAUAGCAUAGGUUUUUGGUUUUUCUUGUCUCUGAUCUGCUUUCUCCUGGCUUUAAUCUUAGGGGCUCCUGAGUGAAGCUGCCGCCGCAUCUUACGCUGCCAGGUUCAAGGCCAACAGGGAAGAUUACUUGCCUCUCUUCCUAGUGGGCCUCAGAAUGGGCUCUGAUUGAGUCAUCUUCCCAUCACGGAAUAAGUAGAAAGCCACAGACUGAUCACAGGGACCCCCGUGCAAACCUCGUGGACUAAGAGGGAGAAGAAAAUCAGGCAGUUAGGACAAGAAAUGGGGAAGACAGCCAGGGGAGGGGACACAGUCUUUCCCUCUUCCUCACCCUCAUGCCCCAUCCUUCCCCAUGCUCCUCUCUCCUGGACGUAGCUCGUGAGAAAUUGUCUGCUCGGGGCUGGCGUCAGAAUCCCCAGGGAGCUCCUUAAAACUCAGAUGUUGGGGACCCGCUCCAGAUGGAGUGAAUUCCAUUAUCUUAUGCCUUUGAGCAGCUUUGAGCCCAUCCCUCUGAAAUAAUCGCCUUCGGUACAUGGAAUGCUGACACAGGAGUAACGCAGCUUCCCACGGUUCAGUUUCCCUGGACUAUGGGAAUGUUUCAGGUCCGUGAGAAAGAGGGAGGCUAAGGAUGCUCCCUAGUGGACAACCGUUCACAAGUGCUAGUGUUGAGCUUGCAUAAACCAAGGCCAUUAAAUCUGCCCGACGUGACAAGAUUGGUCCCGGAAUCCGAAUGAACCUGAUACGGCUCAGAAUGCAGCAGCCCUUGAUCCAGGAGCAGGGAAUAUGAAGCUUAACAAGACAAUACAGGACAAAAUCUUUGCCUUCUGGGAACUCACAAGAAUAGACAAGAAAACAAACAAGAUGUAAGAUUAGGUUCCUGGAAGCCAGAGAUCAUGUCUCGUGUCUUUGCACCUCCAGGUUGUUCCAUGGCCUCCGAGGGCCUGAAGUGCUCUUUGUUUUAGCAGCCUGUCUUAUUUUACAUCCAAUACAUUAUAUUUAUAUGUAA